AAGUCGUAACAAGGUAACCGUAGGUGAACCUGCGGUUGGAUCAUUACAAAAUAUCCACCUGGAGGCGCAAGCCUCCAAUCCACCUCUUGUGCACCGUACUGUCUUUGGCGGGCUUGUCUGGGUUGUGCUGCUGCUGCUUUCCUUUUGGGGGGGCGGCGGCGGGAGCCUGAGCAACUUGCGGAGGGGACUUCCCUCUGACCGCCAAUACCCUACCCCACACCCCUGUGCCUACACACCCUGCCUCUGACACACCUUUCGUGGAGAGCCGCGCAACAGUCAGCUCUCCCUAGUGGGGGCGGUCUGGACUCGGCUCGACGCAACAAACGAAAAACAACUUUUGACAACGGAUCUCUUGGCUCUC
rnacentral:misc_RNA from 1 species